rnacentral:rRNA from 1 species
UACGUAGGGUGCGAGCGUUGUCCGGAAUUACUGGGCGUAAAGAGCUCGUAGGUGGUUUGUCGCGUUGUCCGUGAAAUUCCCUGGCUUAACUGGGGGCGUGCGGGCGAUACGGGCAGACUGGAGUACUGCAGGGGAGACUGGAAUUCCUGGUGUAGCGGUGGAAUGCGCAGAUAUCAGGAGGAACACCGGUGGCGAAGGCGGGUCUCUGGGCAGUAACUGACGCUGAGGAGCGAAAGCGUGGGGAGCGAACAGGAUUAGAUACCCUGGUAGUCCACGCCGUAAACGGUGGGUACUAGGUGUGGGUUUCCUUCCUUGGGAUCCGUGCCGUAGCUAACGCAUUAAGUACCCCCGCCUGGGGAGUACGGCCGCAAGGCUAAAACU